rnacentral:rRNA from 1 species
GAGUUUGAUUAUGGCUCAGGAUGAACGCUGGCGGCGUGCCUAACACAUGCAAGUCGAACGGGGUUAUAUUGGUUAGUUUACUAAGCGAUAUGACUUAGUGGCGGACGGGUGAGUAACGCGUGAGGACCUAUCCCAAGCAGGGGGACAACAGCUGGAAACGGUUGCUAAUACCGCAUAAGCGCAUAAGUUGCGUAAAAGGAGAGAUCCGGCAUGGGAGGGGCUCGCGUCCUAUCAGCUAGUAGGUGGGGUAAGGGCCUACCUAGGCGAUGACGGGUAGCCGGCCUGAGAGGGCGCACGGCCACACUGGGACUGAGAUACGGCCCAGACUCCUACGGGAGGCAGCAGUGGGGAAUAUUGGGCAAUGGGGGGAACCCUGACCCAGCGACGCCGCGUGAGUGAAGAAGUCCUUCGGGACGUAAAGCUCUGUUGUGUGGGAAGAAGAGGAUGACGUACCACACGAGGAGCCCCGCA